rnacentral:rRNA from 1 species
GACGAACGCUGGCGGCGUGCCUAAUACAUGCAAGUAGAACGCUGAAGGAGGAGCUUGCUUCUCUGGAUGAGUUGCGAACGGGUGAGUAACGCGUAGGUAACCUGCCUGGUAGCGGGGGAUAACUAUUGGAAACGAUAGCUAAUACCGCAUAAGAGUAGAUGUCGCAUGACAUUUGCUUAAAAGGUGCAAUUGCAUCACUACCAGAUGGACCUGCGUUGUAUUAGCUAGUUGGUGAGGUAACGGCUCACCAAGGCAACGAUACAUAGCCGACCUGAGAGGGUGAUCGGCCACACUGGGACUGAGACACGGCCCAGACUCCUACGGGAGGCAGCAGUAGGGAAUCUUCGGCAAUGGACGGAAGUCUGACCGAGCAACGCCGCGGGAGUGAAGAAGGUUGUCGGAUCGUAAAGCUCUGUUGUAAGAGAAGAACGAGUGUGAGAGUGGAAAGUUCACACUGUGACGGUAUCUUACCAGAAAGGGACGGCUAACUACGUG